GUAACGGUGUCUUUAGACACCACCUUCGUUCUUCAAAGUUUUGUGU
rfam:Picea glauca, whole genome shotgun sequence.